rnacentral:tRNA from 1 species
GGGAAUGUGGCUCAGUGGUAGAGUGCUUGCCUAGCAUGCAUGAAACCCUGGGUUCGAUUCCUAAGUGCCA